AUACGGAGGGUCCGAGCGUUAUCCGGAAUCAUUGGGUUUAAAGGGUCCGUAGGCGGGAAUCUAAGUCAGUGGUGAAAUCUUGCAGCUCAACUGUAAAAUUGCCAUUGAUACUGGAUUUCUUGAAUUAGUGUGAAGUGGUUAGAAUGUGUAGUGUAGCGGUGAAAUGCAUAGAUAUUACACAGAAUACCAAUUGCGAAGGCAGAUCACUAACACUAUAUUGACGCUGAGGGACGAAAGCGUGGGGAGCGAACAGGAUUAGAAACCCGAGUAGUCC
rnacentral:rRNA from 1 species